rnacentral:rRNA from 1 species
UACAGAGGGGGCUAGCGUUGUUCGGAAUUACUGGGCGUAAAGCGCGCGUAGGCGGCUUUGUAAGUUAGAGGUGAAAGCCCGGAGCUCAACUCCGGAACUGCCUUUAAGACUGCAUCGCUAGAACGAUGGAGAGGUAAGUGGAAUUCCGAGUGUAGAGGUGAAAUUCGUAGAUAUUCGGAAGAACACCAGUGGCGAAGGCGACUUACUGGACAUCUGUUGACGCUGAGGUGCGAAAGCGUGGGGAGCAAACAGG